GAGAAUGCGCGGGUCGAGUGCUGUAGUUCGAUUUUUGCGUGUGUGCGUUGCUUGCGGCCUUUGUGCCUUUUUAUUCUUUGCUUACCUUUAUGAUAUAAAGACCUUAUUUCUUACAAGGAGGAAAAGACCGCUGACUUCAGAAACAGCGGGAACCCCAGCUCGUCCCCGCAUUCCCAGUUUACAGCUGAGGAAAUUAAGCUUCAAGUUGCCCAAGUUUAUAGAAUGAGUCAAUGGCAGAGGUUGAACUCAGAUGACAAAAUUGGGGUCUGGACGUGUGCAAGGACUUUUCCAAAGUCAGCUGGAAAGGAGCUGCUUAGCUGAGAGGUUCUGGCUCCAGAGUCUCCUGUGAAGUUGCAGUCAAGAUGUCUGCUGGGACCCCAGUCAUUUGAAGCCCUGUCUGGGGCAGGAGAAUCUAGGUCCAAAAUGGCCGUUGCAGGAGUCCUUAUCCACACCAUGUGGGACCUCUUCAUAGAUGUUCGAGUGUCCUCAUGGCAUGGCCACUGGCUUUCCCCAAAACAAUCAACAAAACUGAAAAAGCCCAGCCUUGUAGCAUUUGCCAGUUAUUGUGUAAAUGUCCCCACUAUGGUGGAUUUCAGGUUACCACUAUGAUAUCACAGAAUGCAGAAUUGGAAGGAGAUUCACAGCAGCACCCCAUUAUACUAUAUUUUCACCAUACAGAUGCAGUCGAUGUAAAUUACCUGAGGAGCAUAAAUAAUAAUAAAAUGAAGUUAAAUAAUUCGGAAAUGAUUUUGAAAAUUGUGUUGGUUUUUAAUGUAAGUUUAUAUGUCAGCUUUAAUAAAAUCUGUCUUUAACAACUAGCUUGAAGAAUUCUUGAAAAAUUAAUAAUCAGCUCUCAUAGGCUAGUGACAACUGGCUUCAGUGCACCCCUGACUAGAAACACCUUUGCUUUCCACCACAUGUGGAAUUCCCAGUAUUUCAACAAUCAGAAUUGAGCUUAUGAGCCAACCAAGAAAAAUAACAUCUUAUAUAAGAGACAGCAAUUUGAGAGAGGAAUAUCAGUCAGAAGAAACAAGGGGAAAGUCGAACUUGUAAAAGAGAGAUGAAAAUUUGAAUUUUUUUAAAGGCAUCCUUAAGCAUAUUUAAGUACAACACAAAAAGUUAAAGAAUUUAGUAGAUAAAUAGAAAGAUGAGAUGAUUACCACUGAGACACAGAUCAAUGAUCUGGAAGAUAAAAACAAAUCAUAAAAAUAAAAGUAUCUUGAAAUUUUGCAAAGUACAUCAUAAAUCAAUGCAUCAGAGAUUAUGUGUCAUGACAAAAAAAUUUAUACUCAGAAUGAUAUGUCACUGCUUACUAUGCAAAUAUUUUCUAUUUCUCCUAGCUUCAAACUAUGCAUAUGGGCCAGGCGCGGUAGCUCAUGCCUGUAAUCCCAACACUUUGGAAGGUCAAGGUGGGCAGAUCAUUUGAGGCCAGGAGUUUGAGACCAGCCUGGCCAACAUGGUGAAACUCCGUCUCUACUAAAAAAUACAAAAUAAUUAGCUGGGUGUCGUGGAGCAUACCUGUAAUCCCAGCUGCUCCGGAGGCUGAGGCACGAGAAUCGUCUGAACCCAGGUGAUUCUGCACUCUACUUGGGCUCUGUCUCAAAACAACAACAACAGCAACAACAAAAACUGUGGUAUUUUUAAUGAACUAAAUAUUAAUCUGCUAACACAGCAUAGGUUUUAUGAUUACUGCAAUUCAAAAGUCAUAAUAAAUUUUAAAACAAAUCCUCCUGUACCUGUUGUGGUGCAUGCAGAAACUUUUCCUGUUCAACACACUUAUAUGGCACUAUAUAGGGAUAUACCAAAUAGCUCAGGUACAUAGUGAAUACAACUUUAACACUUAUAUUGAAAUGCUAAUCUUACUUGCCAAUAUUAGUGGCACAUUAGCAUAAUUUAACUUUUAUAAAAUUAUGGAAAACAGUUUAAAAUUAUUCUCCCUAAUAUUAGCAAAUUGCAUUAAUGGCAUGUACCGUGUGCCAGUUUGUUUCCAAAUAAACAAAAUGUACCUUGAUAUGCCACUUCAGAGCCAGCAGAGGGAGCUCAUACUUUUUUAUUGUUUUCAACUUACUGAAGAAAAUUUGCUUUUAAAAGCUACUGUGUUAUAACCAAUGAGAACCAAGAAAA
rnacentral:lncRNA from 1 species